rnacentral:rRNA from 1 species
UACGUAGGGUGCAAGCGUUGUCCGGAAUUAUUGGGCGUAAAGAGCUCGUAGGCGGUCAGUCGCGUCUGCUGUGAAAACUCGGGGCUUAACUCCGGGCCUGCAGUGGGUACGGGCUGACUAGAGUGCGGUAGGGGAGACUGGAAUUCCUGGUGUAGCGGUGAAAUGCGCAGAUAUCAGGAGGAACACCGGUGGCGAAGGCGGGUCUCUGGGACGGUACUGACGCUGAGGCGCGAAAGCGUGGGGAGCAAACAGG